rnacentral:lncRNA from 1 species
GUCGGUGCUCCAUAAUUUGUUUUGUAUAUCUAGUAAAACUUUUUUUUAUUAAGUUGUUGUCUCUUCUAUUUUCACAUUUUUGGCUCUUUGACAUACCAUUUUUUGUCUAUGUUCUAUUUUCAUAUUGUUCUCUUUGACAUAUCCCAUUUCUAUUGCCUAUAUUCUAUUUUCAUAGUUUUGUCUCUUUGACAUACCCCAUUCUAUGUUUGCCUCUUUGACAUACCCUAAUUCUAUUGUCUAU